rnacentral:lncRNA from 1 species
AAGACCUUGUCAGUGACUCACAAUGUCAAUGGUGAACGCAAAGGAGAAUCUGUCUUUUCUGGAACACCAGGUUCAGGUAUCAGUUUCAACUAUGCUUAUAAUUUGUGCUCUAAAGUCCACAAAGCUAAAUUAUCUUUCCCCUAAAAAUUGAGUACUCAUAUCCUUAAAAUAGCUUGGAAAUUAGAUUACCUUAUGAAUACAGCAUAGCAUGUCACAUAAACGUUUUUCUACUGUUAUACCUUUUUGGUGGGAAAGA